AAUCUCUUCUGGUGGUUCCAAAAUCUAGAGCCAAAGAGCUGAAGCAUCAUUCCUUCAAGACGCUUACAACCUUCUUUCAUCAAUCUUCCCUCUUCCUCUUUAGACAGCAGAAACCAUUGCCUAAUCCAAUAAGUUCCUCUAAAAAUUACCUGCAAAUAGGGGUUAGUAACUUUUCUUUGGAACACUGCAUCAUUUCUAUUCAACCAUAUGGCCCAACACAUGGC
rnacentral:lncRNA from 1 species